rnacentral:rRNA from 1 species
AGUGAACGCUGGCGGUAGGCCUAACACAUGCAAGUCGAACGGCAGCACAGUAAGAGCUUGCUCUUACGGGUGGCGAGUGGCGGACGGGUGAGGAAUACAUCGGAAUCUACUUUUUCGUGGGGGAUAACGUAGGGAAACUUACGCUAAUACCGCAUACGACCUACGGGUGAAAGCAGGGGAUCUUCGGACCUUGCGCGAUUGAAUGAGCCGAUGUCGGAUUAGCUCGUUGGCGGGGUAAAGGCGCACCAAGGCGACGAUCCGUAGCUGGUCUGAGAGGAUGAUCCCCCACACUGUAACUGAGACACGGUCCAGACUCCUACGGGAGGCAGCAGUGGGGAAUAUUGGACAAUGGGCGCAAGCCUGAUCCAGCCAUACCGCGUGGGUGAAGAAGGCCUUCGGGUUGUAAAGCCCUUUUGUUGGGAAAGAAAAGCAGCAGGUUAAUACCCCGCUGUUCUGACGGUACCCAAAGAAUAAGCACCGGCUAACUUCGUG